rnacentral:rRNA from 1 species
CCUACGGGUGGCAGCAGUGAGGAAUAUUGGUCAAUGGCCGAGAGGCUGAACCAGCCAAGUCGCGUGAGGGAAGAAUGUCCUAUGGAUUGUAAACCUCUUUUGUCAGGGAGCAAAGUCACCCACGUGUGGGUGUUGGAGAGUACCUGAAGAAAAAGCAUCGGCUAACUCCGUGCCAGCAGCCGCGGUAAUACGGAGGAUGCGAGCGUUAUCCGGAUUUAUUGGGUUUAAAGGGUGCGUAGGCGGGUUAUCAAGUCAGCGGUAAAAUCGUGGAGCUCAACUCCAUCCAGCCGUUGAAACUGAUGAUCUUGAGUGGGCGAGAAGUAUGCGGAAUGCGUGGUGUAGCGGUGAAAUGCUUAGAUAUAACUUAGAACCCCGAUAGCGAAGGCAGCUUACCAGACUGUUACUGACGCUGAAGCACGAGAGCGUGGGUAGCGAACAGGAUUAGAUACCCUAGUAGUC